UUAAGCGACUAAGCGUACACGGUGGAUGCCCUGGCAGUCAGAGGCGAUGAAGGGCGUGCUAAUCUGCGAUAAGCGCCGGUAAGGUGAUAUGAACCGUUAUAACCGGCGAUACCCGAAUGGGGAAACCCAGUGUGACUCGUCACACUAUCAUUAACUGAAUCCAUAGGUUAAUGAGGCGAACCGGGGGAACUGAAACAUCUAAGUACCCCGAGGAAAAGAAAUCAACCGAGAUUCCCCCAGUAGCGGCGAGCGAACGGGGAGGAGCCCAGAGCCUGAAUCAGCAUGUGUGUUAGUGGAAGCGUCUGGAAAGGCGCGCGAUACAGGGUGACAGCCCCGUACACAAAAGCGCACGUGCUGUGAGCUCGAUGAGUAGGGCGGGACACGUGGUAUCCUGUCUGAAUAUGGGGGGGACCAUCCUCCAAGGCUAAAUACUCCUGACUGACCGAUAGUGAACCAGUACCGUGAGGGAAAGGCGAAAAGAACCCCGGCGAGGGGAGUGAAAAAGAACCUGAAACCGUGUACGUACAAGCAGUGGGAGCACAGGUUUACCUGUGUGACUGCGUACCUUUUGUAUAAUGGGUCAGCGACUUAUAUUCUGUAGCAAGGUUAACCGAAUAGGGGAGCCGGAGGGAAACCGAGUCUUAAUUGGGCGUUAAGUUGCAGGGUAUAGACCCGAAACCCGGUGAUCUAGCCAUGGGCAGGUUGAAGGUUGGGUAACACUAACUGGAGGACCGAACCGACUAAUGUUGAAAAAUUAGCGGAUGACCUGUGGCUGGGGGUGAAAGGCCAAUCAAACCGGGAGAUAGCUGGUUCUCCCCGAAAGCUAUUUAGGUAGCGCCUCGUGAAUUCAUCUCCGGGGGUAGAGCACUGUUUCGGCUAGGGGGCCAUCCCGGCUUACCAACCCGAUGCAAACUGCGAAUACCGGAGAAUGUUAUCACGGGAGACACACGGCGGGUGCUAACGUCCGUCGUGAAGAGGGAAACAACCCAGACCGCCAGCUAAGGUCCCAAAGUCAUGGUUAAGUGGGAAACGAUGUGGGAAGGCCCAGACAGCCAGGAUGUUGGCUUAGAAGCAGCCAUCAUUUAAAGAAAGCGUAAUAGCUCACUGGUCGAGUCGGCCUGCGCGGAAGAUGUAACGGGGCUAAACCAUGCACCGAAGCUGCGGCAGCGACACUGUGUGUUGUUGGGUAGGGGAGCGUUCUGUAAGCCUGCGAAGGUGGCCUGUGAGGGUUGCUGGAGGUAUCAGAAGUGCGAAUGCUGACAUAAGUAACGAUAAAGCGGGUGAAAAGCCCGCUCGCCGGAAGACCAAGGGUUCCUGUCCAACGUUAAUCGGGGCAGGGUGAGUCGACCCCUAAGGCGAGGCCGAAAGGCGUAGUCGAUGGGAAACGGGUUAAUAUUCCCGUACUUGGUGUUACUGCGAAGGGGGGACGGAGAAGGCUAUGUUGGCCGGGCGACGGUUGUCCCGGUUUAAGCGUGUAGGCUGGUUUUCCAGGCAAAUCCGGAAAAUCAAGGCUGAGGCGUGACGACGAGGCACUACGGUGCUGAAGCAACAAAUGCCCUGCUUCCAGGAAAAGCCUCUAAGCAUCAGGUAACAUCAAAUCGUACCCCAAACCGACACAGGUGGUCAGGUAGAGAAUACCAAGGCGCUUGAGAGAACUCGGGUGAAGGAACUAGGCAAAAUGGUGCCGUAACUUCGGGAGAAGGCACGCUGACACGUAGGUGAAGUGAUUUACUCAUGGAGCUGAAGUCAGUCGAAGAUACCAGCUGGCUGCAACUGUUUAUUAAAAACACAGCACUGUGCAAACACGAAAGUGGACGUAUACGGUGUGACGCCUGCCCGGUGCCGGAAGGUUAAUUGAUGGGGUCAGCGCAAGCGAAGCUCCUGAUCGAAGCCCCGGUAAACGGCGGCCGUAACUAUAACGGUCCUAAGGUAGCGAAAUUCCUUGUCGGGUAAGUUCCGACCUGCACGAAUGGCGUAAUGAUGGCCAGGCUGUCUCCACCCGAGACUCAGUGAAAUUGAACUCGCUGUGAAGAUGCAGUGUACCCGCGGCAAGACGGAAAGACCCCGUGAACCUUUACUAUAGCUUGACACUGAACAUUGAGCCUUGAUGUGUAGGAUAGGUGGGAGGCUUUGAAGUGUGGACGCCAGUCUGCAUGGAGCCAACCUUGAAAUACCACCCUUUAAUGUUUGAUGUUCUAACGUGGACCCGUAAUCCGGGUUGCGGACAGUGUCUGGUGGGUAGUUUGACUGGGGCGGUCUCCUCCUAAAGAGUAACGGAGGAGCACGAAGGUUGGCUAAUCCUGGUCGGACAUCAGGAGGUUAGUGCAAUGGCAUAAGCCAGCUUGACUGCGAGCGUGACGGCGCGAGCAGGUGCGAAAGCAGGUCAUAGUGAUCCGGUGGUUCUGAAUGGAAGGGCCAUCGCUCAACGGAUAAAAGGUACUCCGGGGAUAACAGGCUGAUACCGCCCAAGAGUUCAUAUCGACGGCGGUGUUUGGCACCUCGAUGUCGGCUCAUCACAUCCUGGGGCUGAAGUAGGUCCCAAGGGUAUGGCUGUUCGCCAUUUAAAGUGGUACGCGAGCUGGGUUUAGAACGUCGUGAGACAGUUCGGUCCCUAUCUGCCGUGGGCGCUGGAGAACUGAGGGGGGCUGCUCCUAGUACGAGAGGACCGGAGUGGACGCAUCACUGGUGUUCGGGUUGUCAUGCCAAUGGCACUGCCCGGUAGCUAAAUGCGGAAGAGAUAAGUGCUGAAAGCAUCUAAGCACGAAACUUGCCCCGAGAUGAGUUCUCCCUGAGACUUAAAGUCUCCUGAAGGAACGUUGAAGACGACGACGUUGAUAGGCCGGGUGUGUAAGCGCAGCGAUGCGUUGAGCUAACCGGUACUAAUGAACCGUGAGGCUUAACCUU
rnacentral:rRNA from 1 species